GGACUAUGUGCAGGGGCGCAGCUCGUAGCAGCUGCCGCGUUGCGGAAGAAGGCCUUCGGGUUGGAAAGCACUUUCGUAUGGGAAGAAAGCGGCGGGGCUAAUGUACUUCUCGGUGACGGUACCUGACAAGAAGCACCGGCUAACUACGUGCCAGCAGCCGCGGUAAUACGUGAGGGUGCAAGCGUUAAUCGGAAUUACUGGGCGUAAAGCGUCGCGCAGGCGGUUUUGGUAAGUACAGAUGUGAAAUCCCCGGGCUUAACCUGGGAACUGCGUUUGAGACUGCAGGCUAGAGUACGGCAGAGGGGGGUGGAAUUCCACGUGUAGCAGUGAAAUGCGUAGAGAUGUGGAGGAACACCGAUGGCGAAGGCGGCCCCCUGGACCUGUACUGACGCUCAUGCGCGAAAGCGUGGGGAGCAAACAGGAUUAGAUACCCUGGUAGUCCACGCCCUAAACGAUGUCAACUAGUUGGUCGGAGAGGUAACUUUUUGAUUAACGCAGCCUAACCCGUGAAGUUGACCGCCGGGGGAGUCCGGCCGCAGGGUUAAAACUCAAAGGAUUGCCCGGGGG
rnacentral:rRNA from 1 species